rnacentral:rRNA from 1 species
ACAUACGACCAUCGACUCAAGAGAAUUGGGCAUCCCGUCCGCUCUGCCAUACACAAGCUUGAGAUCGGUGGAUUAGUAGUUGGGUGGGUGACCACCAGCGAAUACCCACUGUUGUAUGUA